rnacentral:rRNA from 1 species
AUGCCCUACCUCACUCGACACAUUCCUCGCCUCCGCCUCAUUCGCUCCCUCUCCUCCGCUCGCCUCCGAGACCACCACUUCCUCCUGCGCUUCGCUGCGCUCGCCAAGGAGCUCUCCGACCAGCCCGUGCCCUCGCCUCUCCCGUCCCGGCCACAGUCCCCGCACCCCUACGACUACAACCGCCUCAUGUCCGCGCAUGCUACGUUGGACGCUGCUGGCGGGGCCGGCGCCGGGGCCGACCGCGCCCUCCACCUGCUCGACGAAAUGCGCAGCGUCCUCCAGCGCCGCCCAGACGCCGCCUGCUUCACCACAGUCGCGGCAGCGCUCUCAGCUGCCUCCCGCCCAGACGCCGCCCUCGCCGUGCUAGAAGCGAUGGCCGUGGACGGUGUCGUGCCGGACACUGCGGCAUGCACGGUCCUGGUCGGGGUGUACGCCUGCCACCUGCAGCGGUUCGAUGCCGCUUACGAGGUCGUGGGGUGGAUGACAGAGAAUGGUGUGGCCCCAGAUGUUGUCACUUACUCGACUCUGAUAUGUGGGCUCUGCAGUGCCGGGCGGGUAGCCGAAGCUCUGGGCGUCCUGGACUUGAUGCUGGAGGAAGGAUGCCACCCGAAUGCGCACACAUAUACACCUAUCAUGCACGUGUACUGCACUGCUGGGAUGAUUCAUGAGGCCAAGAAGCUGUUGGACUCGAUGAUUGCUGCUGGAUGUGCUCCAAGCACGGCUACUUACAAUGUCUUGAUUAAAGCUCUUUGCAAGGCUGGAGCUUUUGAGGAAGUAGAGGUGCUUCUUGAGGAGAGCAGCUCAAAAGGUUGGAUGCCGGAUACGAUCACAUACAGCACUUACAUGGAUGGGCUAUGCAGAUCUGGUAGGUUAGAUAAGAGCUUUGCAUUGGUCGAUAGGAUGCUAUCCAAGGGGUUGCGUCCUAAUGAGGUUACUCUGAAUAUCCUUCUUGAUGGCGUUUGCCGCAGCUCAACUGCGUGGGCUGCGAAAUGCCUUCUGGAGUGCAGUGCAGACAUUGGAUGGGAUGCCAGUGUUGUCAACUAUAACACCGUGAUGAGGAGGCUUUGUGAUGAGCGGAGAUGGUUGGCUGUUGUCAAGCUGUUCACUGACAUGUCGAAGAAGGGCAUAGCUCCAAAUAGCUGGACUUUCAACAUCGUAGUCCACAGCCUCUGUAAACUUGGGAAGCUUCACAAUGCGCUUUGCUUGAUGGGGAGUGAAGGGUUUGUUGCCAGUGUUAUCACAUACAAUACAUUGAUCCGUCAUCUCAGUUUGUUGGGGAAAUCUAACGAGGUCUACCUCUUGCUUCAUGACAUGAUUGAAGAGGGCAUUGCCCCCAAUGAAACCACCUACAUUCUUGUGAUUGAUUGUCUAUGUAGAGAGGAGAAAUUCUUGGCUGCUCUUAGCUGUUUCUACCGAUCACUAGAGGAUGGUUUCUCUCCAUCUGUAGUUACAAGUAUUGUACGAGGUCUCAUUGUUGGUGGUAAGUUUGGCGAGUUGCAUACUUUGAUUGGGUGGAUUCUGGGACAAGGCUUUGCAAUAGAUGUGUACCUGUACCGAGUAGUGAUCAUUGCUUUUUGUAAGAAAGGAUACUGUCAAGGCACAGAAAUGUACAAAGUCUGUCAUAUAUUGGAAAGAAUGCUCAGCUUGAGAUGA